CGGGGUGUGGCGCAGUUGGCUAGCGCGCGUCGUUUGGGACGAUGAGGCCGCGAGUUCGAGUCUCGCCACCCCGACCA
rnacentral:tRNA from 3 species